UUUCCUCCCCACACCAACAAAUGGGGGGGUUCCCACUUGCAACGUCCCCACGAAAAGGCAUUUGCCUAGCUUAAGAUUUUCUGAAUCCUCGUUAGAAGGGCCCGAUCCAUCUAACGUAUCAGUCUUUCAACAAAAUUUGCAAAAUGCAAAAAAGCAAAACUUGUAAAUACAAGGAAUGGAUGCUCAGAACUACCCCAAUGAAGAGAACAUCUUGCUCUCUGCCGGUGGGGAAAUCACUUGUUGGGAAGUAAAAGUCGUAACAAGGUUUCCGUAGGUGAACCUGCGGAAGGAUCAUUAGUGAAUAUAGGACGUCCAACUUAACUUGGAGUCCGAACUCUCACUUUCUAACCCUGUGCACUUGUUUGGGAUAGUAACUCUCGCAAGAGAGCGAACUCCUAUUCACUUAUAAACACAAAGUCUAUGAAUGUAUUAAAUUUUAUAACAAAAUAAAACUUUCAACAACGGAUCUCUUGGCUCUCGCAUCGAUGAAGAACGCAGCGAAAUGCGAUAAGUAAUGUGAAUUGCAGAAUUCAGUGAAUCAUCGAAUCUUUGAACGCACCUUGCGCUCCAUGGUAUUCCGUGGAGCAUGCCUGUUUGAGUGUCAUGAAUACUUCAACCCUCCUCUUUCUUAAUGAUUGAAGAGGUGUUUGGUUUCUGAGCGCUGCUGGCCUUUACGGUCUAGCUCGUUCGUAAUGCAUUAGCAUCCGCAAUCGAACUUCGGAUUGACUUGGCGUAAUAGACUAUUCGCUGAGGAAUUCUAGUCUUCGGAUUAGAGCCUCUUUUGGAUAUAAGGAAGCUUGUAAUCAGAACGUGGAACGAUAAUAAAUGUAAGCUG
rnacentral:rRNA from 1 species